rnacentral:rRNA from 1 species
AGAGUUUGAUCCUGGCUCAGGAUUAACGCUGGCGGUAUGCCUAAUACAUGCAAGUCGAACGAACUUUUUAGAUUUUUUUAGAUUUUAGAUAUUGGAAUCUAGUGCACUAUGUACUAACUUCCAGCAACUAAACUCUAAGCGAUCUAGAUUGUUAGUGGCGGACGGGUGAGUAACACGUUGGAACCUACCCCGAAGUGAGGAAUAACUGCCCGAAAGGGUAGCUAAUACCUCAUAGUCUCCGAUUUAUUCGGAGUAAAGAUUUAUCGCUUCGGGAGGGGCCUGCGUCCGAUUAGCUAGUUGGUGAGGUAAAUGCUCACCAAGGCGACGAUCGGUAGCUGGUUUGAGAGGAUGACCAGUCACACUGGGACUGAGAUACGGCCCAGACUCCUACGGGAGGCAGCAGUAAGGAAUCUUCCACAAUGGGGGCAACCCUGAUGGAGCAAUACCGCGUGCAGGAUGAAGCGUUUCGGCGUGUAAACUGCUUUUAUCUGUGAUGAUUAUGACAGUAGCAGAAGAAUAAGGAUCGGCUAACUACGUGCCAGCAGCCGCGGUAAUACGUAGGAUCCAAGCGUUAUCCGGAAUUACUGGGCGUAAAGCGUCUGUAGGCGGCUUUUUAAGUCGGGUGCGAAAUCUUGCGGCUCAACCGUAUAGACUGUGCUCGAAACUAUGAAGCUAGAGGUAGGUAGAGGCAAGUGGAAUUUCUGGUGUAGGAGUGACAUCCGUAGAUAUCAGAAGGAACACCAAUGGCGAAGGCAGCUUGCUGGGCCUUACCUGACGCUCAGAGACGAAAGCGUGGGGAGCGAACGGGAUUAGAUACCCCGGUAGUCCACGCCGUAAACGAUGAUCACUAGUAGUAUGGAGAUUCGACCCUUUGUGCUACGAAGCUAACGCGAUAAGUGAUCCGCCUGGGGAGUACGAGCGCAAGCUUAAAACUCAAAGGAAUUGACGGGGACCCGCACAAGCAGAGGAGGAUGUGGUUUAAUUCGAAGCUACGCGAAGAACCUUACCGAGGCUUGACAUCCCGCGAAGGUCUGGGAAACCAGACUGUGCCUUCGGGAACGCGGUGACAGAUGCUGCAUGGCCGUCGUCAGCUCGUGUCGUGAGAUGUUUGGUUAAGUCCAUCAACG